AAACCGUUCAGGGGUAAACCUGAGAAACCCAAAAGAUCGAAUGGGGAGAUUCAGCGUCAGCGGCGUUGGCUUCCGUGCGGCUCGCGAUGGCCGGGACCUCGGUCCCGCGUCACGCGGUCGCCGCGGCAUGUCCGGCGUCGUCGACGUGCACUUCUCCCCUAGUAGGACGUCGCGACCCGUUGGGUGUCGGAUCAAUGGCCGGUCGGUCGUCUGUUGCGCCUCGGCGCGGCAGACCGAACGGUUCAACGUCCGGCUGCCCGGCGGUAUAGAACGCUUAAUCACGGUAAUGGGCCGCAACCCUCGAAUGCGUUCAGGCUCGUCGGCAGGCUCGUCUCGCUCGGAUUUACGGACCUAGCGCCGUUGCCGGGCGCUUGGCGCGGCUGUUAGUCGACGAUGUCCUCGGACUGGCUCUUACCGGUCUGCGACGCUACUGCUUUGGGUACUUUCAGGA
rnacentral:rRNA from 1 species